rnacentral:rRNA from 2 species
AUUGCAGAAUCCCGUGAACCAUCGAGUCUUUGAACGCAAGUUGCGCCUGAAGCCAUUAGGCUGAAGGCACGUCUGCCUGGGCGUCACGC